AGAAACCGAAAAUUUAUUUUCUGGCAGAAAGCUAGAAAUUUACCAAAAUAUCGUCAUUGUUUUAAAUUUAUUUUGAUGACCAUUCCUGACCUAAAAUCGCACGAGAAAUCGAUUAAACUUGGUUUCAGAACUCAACAAUGCUUCCUUAUGCCUUAAAAUCCAUGUUUUAUCAAUACAAUCAACAUCUCGAUCAUGUAGUUAAACUUAUUACUUAACGGAUUCAAGUAUAGUUACGCGGUAGACAAACUAAAACAAAAUUGUAGGUUUAUAACCUGCCAGGACGUGCGCCGAGUUAAACUUGUCGAAGGUAAUAUUUUACGUGUAUCACCCGUUAAAAACAAAACACCAGUUUAAUUGUCCUUUUGUCUGAACCAUAUGGUUAAGUGCAAGCUGUAUACAAUACGUCAAAAAAUCAUAUGGUACCUGUAUCUACCAGGUCAGCAGUCCUCGCGGAUCCAGAGUAUGUUUUCGACCGGUUCACACCCGCCAAGUAGCAGACGAGCAGUGGAAAAGGAGGACACUCUGAAGAAACAAAAACUUGACUGAGAAAAGGCUCUAAACAACAAGCGAGACGGACUGUUCUCAGACAGUGCCGUGUUAAAACAUUUCGGAGCGGAGCACGUGGCAGGAGUUCAGGGCUGUCAGGAUCUCAUGGACAAAGCAGGUACUAAGUUACUAAAACUUGCGGAUGAAAUUGAAAGUUACAACACCCCGGAAUCUCAGAUAUCGGAAAAUGCGAGGGGUGUUAUGGAAGCAUUCAGCGGAAAAGCGCAUCUGUUGGUGACGAGUAAGCUGAGAAAGCAGUAUCAGCGUAUGAUAGACGACGCCCUCAGUCCUACUUACACACCUCCUACCAAAGUUUCAGAUCUGACUGGCUUCUGGGAGAUGGUCCUACUUCAGGUCAGCAGUCCUCGCGGAUCCAGAGUAUGUUUUCGACCGGUUCACACCCAAGAAGCGACGGAGUAGCAGACGAGCAGUGGAAAAGGAGGACACUCUGAAGAAACAAAAACUUGACCGAGAAAAGGUACACUUGGUUUUAAUCAAUACAUUUUUUCGAACAUAGCAUGUUUUAAAUUGACUAUUUGCUAUAGAUUCUUCGGUCCCCGUUCUUUGCCAAUUUAUGAUAUCAAUAUGUUUUAAUCUCGAAAAAAAUAACGUUCUUAUCCUGACUCAUCCGUCACCCUCAAGUCCCCUCAGGCUCUAAACAACAAGCGAGACGGACUGUUCUCAGACAGUGCCGUGUUAAAACGUUCUGAAAGUGGAGUUGACCAUAUGCCUUUGAAAACAACAUUUGAAAACCUUGGAGUGUAAAUGUAUUAUCAUUCCUGAAGUAGUUUAAGCACCAGUUACAAGGUGUGGCGUAUCAGGCCUAGCUCACUAACCAAGGUUAACAGUGCAGCAGGUUAUUGAAUGUGAGAGGGAACAUUUGAUUGUUCUUCAUGGUAUUGUGUACAUACCAUGUUUGAUAAAUUAAAACACUGGAUCCCUGAUGUUUCAAUGAUUGAGAAGAGUGAACAUUUUAGAAACAGCUUUUCUAAAAACCAGAGGAUUAAUGGAGCAUAAAUCCUGGAACAGUUACAGCCCCAGAUAAAACAUUUUUGUUGGUGUAAAUUAUUUGACUAUAAAAGUGGCAACAGAUCUUUUGAAAUUAUACCAAACUGCUGUGGUUUUAGAAUCAGUGUUAUACACUGGGUGCUUCUAAAUUUGCUGCAUUUUCAAAAUGACAACUUUAAAUGUCAGAUUUUAAUGUGAGACUCAGUAUACAUACACUGUUUUUAAAAACUUGCGAUUAAAUUCUGAUUGGUUAUUAGAAAUUAUCAUUGUAUUCAUUUA